GCACCGGUUAGCUCAAUCAGUUGAGUGUGGCACUAACACCGCCAAGGUCGUGGGUUCGAUUCCCGUUCGGUCCC
rfam:Apaloderma vittatum contig65485, whole genome shotgun sequence.